AGAGUUUGAUCCUGGCUCAGGACGAACGCUGGCGGCGUGCUUAACACAUGCAAGUCGAACGAGAAGACAUGAGAAGCUUGCUUCUUAUCGAUUCUAGUGGCAAACGGGUGAGUAACGCGUAAGCAACCUGCCCUUCAGAUGGGGACAACAGCUGGAAACGGCUGCUAAUACCGAAUGCGUUCAUUCCGCCGCAUGACGGAAUGAAGAAAGGGAGGCCUUCGGGCUUUCGCUGGAGGAGGGGCUUGCGUCUGAUUAGCUGGUUGGAGGGGUAACGGCCCACCAAGGCGACGAUCAGUAGCCGGUCUGAGAGGAUGAACGGCCACAUUGGGACUGAGACACGGCCCAGACUCCUACGGGAGGCAGCAGUGGGGAAUCUUCCGCAAUGGACGAAAGUCUGACGGAGCAACGCCGCGUGAACGAUGACGGCCUUCGGGUUGUAAAGUUCUGUUAUAUGGGACGAACAGGGCAUCGGUUAAUACCCGGUGUCUUUGACGGUACCGUAAGAGAAAGCCACGGCUAACUACGUGCCAGCAGCCGCGGU
rnacentral:rRNA from 1 species